CCUGAGAAACCCAAAAGAUCGAAUGGGGAGAUUCAUCGUCAGCGUUACUGGUACGUGUGCGGUUCGCGAUGCCCGGGACUUCGGUUCCGUGGUACGCGUCCGCAUGUUUUUAUUGCCUGGUAACGUCGGCGUGCACUUCUCCCCUAGUAGGACGUCGCGACCCGUUGGGUGUCGGUUUACGGCCCGGGUGGUUGCCUGUCUCGUGUGGCGCUUCACGGCGUCACUGCGGGGCAGACCCCCGGUUGCCUGACCGGCUGCCCGGCGGUAUUCGCAAGGUAUCCGGCCGCAAAAAUUCGAACCUGCGUCCGGCCCGUCGCAAGCGAGGCAAGUGUUUCCCGAAUGUACGGAUCUAAUGCCGUCGUCGGGCCUGGCCAGCUGUUGGUUGACGGUGUCCUAGGACUGGCUGUAACUUAAUUAUGAUACCGGUCAGCGACGCUACUGCUUUGGGUACUUUCAG
rnacentral:rRNA from 1 species